rnacentral:rRNA from 1 species
AUUGAACGCUGGCGGCAUGCCUUACACAUGCAAGUCGAACGGCAGCACGGGUGCUUGCACCUGGUGGCGAGUGGCGAACGGGUGAGUAAUACAUCGGAACAUGUCCUGUAGUGGGGGAUAGCCCGGCGAAAGCCGGAUUAAUACCGCAUACGAUCUACGGAUGAAAGCGGGGGACCUUCGGGCCUCGCGCUAUAGGGUUGGCCGAUGGCUGAUUAGCUAGUUGGUGGGGUAAAGGCCUACCAAGGCGACGAUCAGUAGCUGGUCUGAGAGGACGACCAGCCACACGGGGACUGAGACGCGGCCCAGACUCCUAGGGGGGGCAGCAGUGGGGAAUUUUGGAAGAUGGGCGAAAGCCUGAUCCAGCAAUGCCGCGUGUGUGAAGAAGGCCUUCGGGUUGUAAAGCACUUUUGUCCGGAAAGAAAUCCUUGGCCCUAAUACGGUCGGGGGAUGACGGUACCGGAAGAAUAAGCACCGGCUAACUACG